rnacentral:rRNA from 1 species
CGCGUAGGCUGCGGGGUAAGUCGGGUGUGAAAUCUCAGAGCUCAACUCUGAAACUGCACUCGAUACUGCUUUGCUUGAGGACUGGAGAGGAGACUGGAAUUCACGGUGUGGCAGUGAAAUGCGUAGAUAUCGUGAGGAAGACCAGUGGCGAAGGCGGGUCUCUGGACAGUUCCUGAGCUGAGGCGCGAAGGCCGAGGGGAGCAAACG